GACGAACGCUGGCGGCGUGCUUAACACAUGCAAGUCGAACGGAAAGGCCCUGCUCUUGUUGGUUGCUCGAUUGGCGAACGGGUGAGUAACACGUGUGUAACCUGCCCUUGUCUUUGGGAUAACUUCAGGAAACUGGGGCUCAUACCGGAUAUGAUCUCCUGCACCGUGUUGUUCGUUGGUGAGAUUCGGCGGUUCUGGCUGGACUCGCGGCUUAUCAGCUUGUUGGGGAGGUAGGUGCUUACCAAGGCUUUGACGGGUAGGCGGCAUGAGAGGGUAGCCGGCGACCAUGGGACUGAGAUACGGACCAGAAGGCAACGGGAGGCAGUAGUCGAGAGUCUUACGCAAUGAGGGGACGCGUGAUAUAGAGACGCCGGGUGCGGAAUGAUGGCCUUUGGGUUGUAAACAGCUUUGGCAUGUGACGAAGAGUGAGUGACGGUACUGGGUAAGGAAGCACCGGCUAACUACGUG
rnacentral:rRNA from 1 species